GACAGAGGAUGCAAGCGUUGUCCGGAAUUAUUGGGCGUAAAGGGCUCGUAGGCGGUUUGUCGCGUCGGGAGUGAAAUCCACUGGCUUAACUGGUGGCUUGCUUUCGAUACGGGCAGACUAGAGGCAGGCAGGGGAGAACGGAAUUCCUGGUGUAGCGGUGGAAUGCGCAGAUAUCAGGAGGAACACCGGUGGCGAAGGCGGUUCUCUGGGCCUGUUCUGACGCUGAGGAGCGAAAGCAUGGGGAGCGAACAGG
rnacentral:rRNA from 1 species